UUCAAGGACAGCCUGCCCUAUGUGACAUUUUUUAUUACUCCUCUGUAAACAAACAAACAAACAAAGCAAAACAAAAACAAAACAGGCUCCUGAGAUUGCUCUUGCUAUGGCCUGACCAUUGGAGAGGGUCCUGACUUCUUAGGAAUUGGGCUUUAUUCUUGCCCUUUACAUCCUUCUGGUUGCCAUCUCAUAUUAAACAGGGACAAUCAGAGCACAAAGAGUAAGAAUAAUACAUUUUAUCAUUUGGAUGGUAAUUCUUUUGUUCUACCUAGAUCCCAAGCUUGGUAAACAAGAAGAGUGACCUCAAGGACUGCCCACUGGCCUUUGGUGCUUAGCAGCAGUGAGCUUCUGUGACAGGUGGAAGCAUCCGGUCUUGGGGCAACAACAGGAUAUCUGAGAGGCGUUUUGAUGAAGGCCCAGUGAUGAUUGUGUACCAGAAGACAGAGGCCUUGAAUCAGAUCAAUGACUCAUUGCAAUGGGGCUGAUUGAACAAAAGGAUGUACUACAUGACACACUGUAGCUCCCGGACACCACUAGGAUGAAUGAAGAGGUGUUGGAAAGAUGGAGGAGUGAGGUAGUCAAGUGGACAGAACUCGGAGAACACCGUCAACCUCUGUGAAGAACAAGUGGAACUGAGUUUAUUUAGCCUUUAUCUAGGCUGUUUAGACAUGGUGCUACAUCCGCAUAAUUCAAAGGUCAGCAGGAAACAUGGGCAGUUACUCUGCCGAAUCUGGAUCCUUCCUAUCAGGCUCCCUCCAUUCCAGAAGUUUACCCUCCACACUUUCCAGCUCAUAUGAAAACCCUGAACUCUGUCCUCUGAUCUUCAAGCCAGUAAGGUUCACUUUAAGCCACCACUCAGGAACAUGACUUAGGGCUAUGUUGUGGCUAAAAGCCUUAAAAAUGGGGAUCUCAUCUAGUUCUGACCUUUUCUUUGAAAUGCCAGUUUUCUUUGAGUUUGAGUUUCUUACUGCUUCAGGUUACUUGUCAAUACUUUUAUGUAGUUUUUUUUUAAUAUUUUUCUCCAGAGUAUACAGUUGUUAUAUCUGAUCACAGGUUAGUUUCAUAGGAGCUGCUCGGGCACUAAGUGGAAAUCACAACCUGUGUGGGCUGUGUUAUACAACCUGUGGCACAUAUAGCACAAAUACUCUGGUGGUGCAGCAAAAAUGCAUACAUGUUUGAUUCACAUGAUGUGACUUGAGACGGCAGCGUUUCUAAGCAUAUAAGAAAAGGGUGAUGACAUUUUCAAUCAGCAUGCUCGGAGGACUGAGAAGUUUGACAAUUGCCUGCUUGGGGGUUUUCAUUAAGUCAUAUAGCUUCCCCAUAAAUAGGUAGAGUUUCACUGCAGGCAACCCAAGUGUCUCUCCCAUGAAGAGCUUCAAGGAUCAAGUAUUCCCUAUCCU